UACAGAGGGUGCGAGCGUUAAUCGGAAUUACUGGGCGUAAAGCGCGCGUAGGCGGAUUGGUAAGUCAGAUGUGAAAUCUUUGGGCUCAACCCAAAAACUGCGUUUGAUACUAUUAGUCUAGAGUAUGGUAGAGGAAGGUGGAAUUUCCGGUGUAGCGGUGAAAUGCGUAGAUAUCGGAAGGAAUAUCAGUGGCGAAGGCGACCUUCUGGGCCAAUACUGACGCUGAGGUGCGAAAGCGUGGGGAGCGAACAGG
rnacentral:rRNA from 1 species